CGGACGGGUGAGUAACGCGUGGAAAACCUGCCGUAUACUGGGGGAUAACACUUAGAAAUAGGUGCUAAUACCGCAUAAGCGCACAGCUUCGCAUGAAGCGGUGUGAAAAACUCUGGUGGUAUACGAUGGUUCCGCGUCUGAUUAGCUAGCUGGUGGGGUAAUGGCCUACCAAGGCAACGAUCAGUAGCCGGCCUGAGAGGGUGAACGGCCACAUUGGGACUGAGACACGGCCCAAACUCCUACGGGAGGCAGCAG
rnacentral:rRNA from 1 species